rnacentral:rRNA from 1 species
CCUACGGGCGGCAGCAGUGGGGGAUAUUGCACAAUGGGGGGAACCCUGAUGCAGCGACGCCGCGUGGGUGAAGGAGCGUUUCGGCGCGUAAAGCCCUAUCGGCAGGGAGGAAGAUGACGGUACCGGACCAAGAAGCCCCGGCUAACUACGUGCCAGCAGCCGCGGUAAUACGUAGGGGGCAAGCGUUAUCCGGAUUUACUGGGUGGAAAGGGGGCGCAGACGGCAAUGCAAGCCAGGAGUGAAAGCCCGGGGCCCAACCCCGGGACUGCUAUUGGAACUGCAUGGCUGGAGUACAGGAGGGGCAGGCGGAAUUCCUAGUGUAGCGGUGAAAUGCGUAGAUAUUAGGAGGAACACCGGUGGCGAAGGCGGCCUGCUGGACUGUGACUGACGUUGAGGCCCGAAGGCGUGGGGAGCAAACAGGAUUAGAUACCCCUGUAGUC